rnacentral:rRNA from 1 species
GGGGGGGGGGGGGGGGGGGGGGGGGGGGGGGGGGGGGGGCGGGGGGGGGCUGGGUUGGGGGGGUGCGCGGGGGGGGGACGGGGGGGGGGCGCGGGGGUGGGCUGGCCUUGACUUUGGGGUACCUUCGGGCACCUGGGGCUGAGACCGGCGAGGCGCUCCUGCUGCAUGGUGGGUGUGGGAAAGGUGCGGCGGUUGGGGAUGGACGCGCGGCUUAUCAGCUUGUUGGUGGGGUAGUGCCUUACCAAUGCUUUGACGGGUAGCUGGCCUGAGAGGGUGACCGGCCACAUUGGGACUGAGAUACGGCCCAGACUCCUACGGGAGGCAGCAGUGGGGAAUAUUGCACAAUGGGCGGAAGCCUGAUGCAGCAACGCCGCGUGCGGGAUGACGGCCUUCGGGUUGUAAACCGCUUUCGCCUGUGACGAAGCGUGAGUGACGGUAAUGGGUAAAGAAGCACCGGCUAACUACGUG